rnacentral:rRNA from 1 species
GACAGAGGUGCCAAGCGUUAGGCGGAAUCACUGGGCUUAAAGCGUGUGUAGGCGGACUGGUAAGUACUUUGUGAAAUCCCACGGCUCAACCGUGGAACCGCUUGGUAUACUGCCGGUCUUGAGCCACCUAGGGGCAACCGGAACAAACGGUGGAGCGGUGAAAUGCGUAGAUAUCGUUUGGAACGCCAAAGGUGAAAACAGGUUGCUGGGGGUGUGCUGACGCUGAGACACGAAAGCCAGGGUAGCGAACGGG